CACUGGACAAUGUUGCCAGCAGUUCGCAUUAAUGAAUGUUUCCAAUUUUUACACAGAUUUGUUUUAAGGAUAUAAUGAGGGGAAAUUAAUUAAAUCAAGAAGGUAAAAUUGAUACUAUAAGCUCGAAAAAGCCUUAAAGUGUUAUAUGAGAAUAUAAAUGGGUGUUAUGGGACAAUAUAUUUUACCUUGUAUGGUAGGAAAAACACCAAGUAGUCCGAACAUCUGACACAAAUUCUUAAAUAGAUAUAGGAAGAUGUGGUGUGAGUUCCAAUGAGACAACUCUCCAUCCAAAUAACAAUUUAAAAAAAGUAAACCAUUAUAGGUCAGUGUACAGCCUUCAACACGGAGCCUUGGCUCACACCGAACAACAAGCUAUAAAGGACCCCAAGAUUACUAGUGUAAAACCAUUCAAACGGGAAAACCAACGGUCUAAUCUAUAUAUAAAAAAACGAGAAACGAGAAACACGUAUAACUUACAUAAACAAACGACAACUACUGUAUAUCAGAUUCCUGACUUAGGGCAGGUGCAAACAUUUGCAGCGGGAUUAAACGUUUUAAUGGAUCCAAACCUUCUCCCUUUUUCUGAAACAAUAGCAUAAAAUCACAACAUAGAAAAACGCACGAUAAAAUAUCAAUUGGCAGGCUUAACUCAAUCAAAAAACGUACAUUAAUACAUUAUAAACAAAUAAAUUUGAUCUGCGAUAUCUGAAUGCAAAUGCACAGUUAAAAAAUAUUAGGGACAAACAUUCAAGGCCAAAAAGCAAACAAACAAGUCCAAACAAAGCCAUGUCAAGACACCACUGCGAAAUAUUUAACCCUUCGAAAAUAUUCACUUUAGAAAAAAAACCGGUUUAAAAAAAAUAAAUAAUUUAAACCUCACUUAAAAAAUCAUAUAUGCAUUUACUUUCUUUAUUCCUUUAAUUGCAUAUAGUUUAGUUCCCUUAUCCUUAUAUGUUCAUUUAUCAUUUCCCAACGC
rnacentral:lncRNA from 1 species